UGCGGAGGAUCCGAGCGUUAUCCGGAUUUAUUGGGUUUAGAGGGAGCGUAGGCGGGUUGUUAAGUCAGUUGUGAAAGUUUGCGGCUCAACCGUAAAAUUGCAGUUGAUACUGGCAUCCUUGAGUACAGUAGAGGUAGGCGGAAUUCGUGGUGUAGCGGUGAAAUGCUUAGAUAUCACGAAGAACUCCGAUUGCGAAGGCAGCCUGCUGGACUGUAACUGACGCUGAUGCUCGAAAGUGUGGGUAUCAAACAGG
rnacentral:rRNA from 1 species